UUGAUGCUUGUUCGCGAACGGGGGAAAUCACUUUGGGUUUUCGUCAUCUAUUUUGAAAUAAGGAUUUUAUGGUUCUUUAAUUGUUGCUUUAAACUAUUUAGUAUGUUUAGAAAUGCGGAGACAUGUUAUCUUCUGCUAGGAACUUUAAACAAGUUUCACUUUUGUUCUUUUGAAGCUGAUACAUUUUUUUUCCAUUUUCAUCUAUUAAUAAAUUAGUUAUUUGAAAUACAUUAACAUAGGAAAUUUGGAAUUGUUUUAUAAAUCGUUUUAAAAAAAAAAAAAAUCCGGGAU
rnacentral:lncRNA from 1 species